AUGCACGCUGGCGGUAUGCUUAACACAUGCCAGUCGAACGGACUCUUCGGAGUUAGUGGCGGACGGGUGAGUAACGCGUGCGAAUCUGGCUUUGGGUUCGGGACAACCACUGUAAACGGUGGCUAAUACCGGAUGUGCCGAGAGGUAAAAGAGAAAUUGCCUGAAGAUGAGCUCGCGUCUGAUUAGCUAGUUGGUGGGGUAAAGGCUCACCAAGGCAGCGAUCAGUAGCUGGUCUGAGAGGAUGACCAGCCACACUGGGACUGAGACACGGCCCAGACUCCUACGGGAGGCAGCAGUGGGGAAUUUUCCGCAAUGGGCGAAAGCCUGACGGAGCAAUACCGCGUGAGGGAAGAAGGCUCUUGGGUUGUAAACCUCUUUUCUUAGGGAAGAACAAAAUGACGGUACCUAAGGAAUCAGCAUCGGCUAACUCCGUG
rnacentral:rRNA from 1 species